rnacentral:rRNA from 1 species
UACGUAGGGUGCAAGCGUUACUCGGAAUUACUGGGCGUAAAGCGUGCGCAGGCGGUUAUGUAAGACAGGUGUGAAAUCCCAGGGCUUAACCUUGGAACUGCAUUUGUGACUGCAUAGCUAGAGUACGGUAGAGGGGGAUGGAAUUCCGCGUGUAGCAGUGAAAUGCGUAGAUAUGCGGAGGAACACCGAUGGCGAAGGCAAUCCCCUGGACCUGUACUGACGCUCAUGCACGAAAGCGUGGGGAGCAAACAGG